rnacentral:rRNA from 1 species
GGAGAAGGUCCCAAGGGUUCGGCUGUUCGCCGAUUAAAGUGGCACGCGAGCUGGGUUCAGAACGUCGCGAGACAGUUCGGUCCCUAUCUGUUGUGGGCGUUGGAAUUUUGAGUGGGGCUGACCUUAGUACGAGAGGACCGGGUUGGACUAGCCUCUAGUGAAUCUGUUGUUCCGCCAGGGGCAUUGCAGAGUAGCUACGCUGGGAAUAGAUAAGCGCUGAAAGCAUCUAAGUGCGAAACUAGCCACGAGAUGAGAAUUCCAUAUAGGACCGUAGAAGACUACUACGUUGAUAGGCUAUAGAUGUAAAGGUGGCGACAC